AGCUGCCUCUGAAGAGGAGUCGCCGAGAGGAGAUCGUACUCCAACAGGGUAACGUUGUACAUCGUACCGUGGGGAAACACGUCGUUCGCCCAAUGGGGCAACAUCUCACCUUGAUCAGCCUGAAUCGGACAUUUGCAAGGAACUUAAAAGACUAGAGUAUAAGAGGGCUACGUCCGAUGGCGUGCUGAUGUUCUUCUCAGUGUAAUAAGAAAGAUAAUCAAACAAAGGCUGAUACUGCGAUAUCAUUUCUCGAGUCUCGGCUGUUUCCAACACUUCGUUUAUCCGUGAGAUGAAAUUCGGGCACAGUGAGCCCAACAUCAAUAUGUCCUCCUUCAACUCUACGUAAUCUGUAACGAGAAAGCUGGCCAUUAUUAUAUACGAAAACAUAGUCUUGAGCUUAUUACAGACCAUAAUUAUUUCGCAAGGACUGAAUGUCAACCUUAUUGUCGAUUUCUUCGAAAGUUUCCGAUUAGUAUUAGAACUAUUUUUUAUUGUAGAUUGCAUAAAUAAAAUUGGAGACUGAAUAAUUGAGACUUGAGAAGAAUUGGAGAUUUGAAAAUUGAAGUCAUAAAACUGAAAUUGUAGAUUAAUUAAGUGUAUAUUCGAUGAAAGAAGAAGCUUUCCAUUUGAAAGAUCAGCCUUCAAUUAUCUAUUGCCAACUAUUAUGCUUGUAAAUCAUAUCAAAAAAGAGAAAAAUAGGAGAUCUUUAGAUUACACGUAUAUUACGAUGAUCGAUUCAGAAAACUUCUUCCAUUCGAGGGUCGAGGAAGAACCUGAUUGCAUUUAUUGACUAACCAGUCGGCAUUGGCUGCCAGUUGACGCCCGCUAUCCACAUUUCCUCUUCCACGGGUGGCCACAGACCAGCGUUAACGAGCUGCGCCGAUAACAUCGAUAAGGCGUACUCCGUCGUCCUCAUCCUCGUCGGUCUGUAAAGUUGCAGUUUGUCGCCAAGAAAUUCGCCAUAGACCUUGCGCAAGUGCACCCCCAGACAAUUCUCACGAGUUCACGCUGGGGGAAGAAGUUUAUCAUCAAUCCCUGAUUAACCGUUCGUACUCACGCUCAAUUGGAUUGAGCAGUGUAUUGAAUCAAUAAAUUAACGUCAAUAUUAAUACAUACGUUCGGCAUGUCCAUCCUGGCG